AACGCUGGCGGCGUGCCUAAUACAUGCAAGUAGAACGCUGAAGGAGGAGCUUGCUCUUCUGGAAGAGUUGCGAACGGGUGAGUAACGCGUAGGUAACCUGCCUGGUAGCGGGGGAUAACUAUUGGAAACGAUAGCUAAUACCGCAUAAGAUUGAAUAUCGCAUGAUAAUUGAUUAAAAGAUGCAAAUGCAUCACUACCAGAUGGACCUGCGUUGUAUUAGCUAGUAGGUGAGGUAACGGCUCACCUAGGCGACGAUACAUAGCCGACCUGAGAGGGUGAUCGGCCACACUGGGACUGAGACACGGCCCAGACUCCUACGGGAGGCAGCAGUAGGGAAUCUUCGGCAAUGGGGGCAACCCUGACCGAGCAACGCCGCGUGAGUGAAGAAGGUUUUCGGAUCGUAAAGCUCUGUUGUAAGAGAAGAACGAGUGUGAGAGUGGAAAGUUCACACUGUGACGGUAUCUUACCAGAAAGGGACGGCUAACUACGUGCCAGCAGCCGCGGUAAUACGUAGGUCCCGAGCGUUGUCCGGAUUUAUUGGGCGUAAAGCGAGCGCAGGCGGUUAGAUAAGUCUGAAGUUAAAGGCUGUGGCUUAACCAUAGUACGCUUUGGAAACUGUUUAACUUGAGUGCAGAAGGGGAGAGUGGAAUUCCAUGUGUAGCGGUGAAGUGCGUAGAUAUAUGGAGGAACACCGGUGGCGAAAGCGGCUCUCUGGUCUGUAACUGACGCUGAGGCUCGAAAGCGUGGGGAGCGAACAGGAUUAGAUACCCUGGUAGUCCACGCCGUAGACGAUGAGUGCUAGGUGUUAGGCCCUUUCCGGGGCUUAGUGCCGUAGCUAACGCAUUAAGCACUCCGCCUGGGGAGUACGA
rnacentral:rRNA from 1 species